rnacentral:lncRNA from 1 species
GUUUUGUCAAAUUGAUUUCAUGGAUAAAUAUUAUUAUCCUUACAUCGUAUAUUUUAUGAUUUGGAUUAUAUUUUUUUUGUUGAGAAAGGUUUCUGCAGAUAUUUUCAGGUUUGUUUGAGACAUGUAGUCAGAUGGGAUCCAUUAGUAGUUUCCAUGUGGGAAACUAUCAGACCAAUCUAUUUGAUGUCUGAGGGUUUUAGCUGUUCCCCUAAUGGAUCGGUAGUUUCUUUCCGAGAUCCUUUAUCAUAGGAUUUUCGGCUUUCCUCUACCAGGAAUACAACUGGGCAUUUAGCGGUAUCGGUUUGGAUUCCAAGUAUGUCCUCUCCGGUUUCCCGUUCGUUGUCUAGGCAUUUGUGCGGCAUCCGGGGUGACCUUAUCCUUUAUUUUGUAUAUAAUGUUUUUUCAUAUUAUGCAUUUUUUGUAUUUUUGAGGAUGAGCGAGUCAGGUGAGUGGGUGUGUUCGUAUGCUUUAUUAAAUUGUACUUAUUGUUUUGGGGAAGGUUAACUUUCUGGUAGUAAGACCCGUCACGGCCAGGCUGGGAAACUGGAUAGGCAAAUGCUCACAUUAAAUCUGUAUCGAUACAGUGUGUUAAAUGUCUUCCUUUCUACACCAUAACCCAUGGUGGUGCUCCUACUAAAGGAGGGAGAUACAGAACAUACAUACA